rnacentral:rRNA from 1 species
AUUGAACGCUGGCGGCAGGCCUAACACAUGCAAGUCGAGCGGGUGAAGGGAGCUUGCUCCUGGAUUCAGCGGCGGACGGGUGAGUAAUGCCUAGGAAUCUGCCUGGUAGUGGGGGAUAACGUCCGGAAACGGGCGCUAAUACCGCAUACGUCCUGAGGGAGGAAGUGGGGGAUCUUCGGACCUCACGCUAUCAGAUGAGCCUAGGUCGGAUUAGCUAGUUGGUGGGGUAAAGGCCUACCAAGGCGACGAUCCGUAACUGGUCUGAGAGGAUGAUCAGUCACACUGGAACUGAGACACGGUCCAGACUCCUACGGGAGGCAGCAGUGGGGAAUAUUGGACAAUGGGCGAAAGCCUGAUCCAGCCAUGCCGCGUGUGUGAAGAAGGUCUUCGGAUUGUAAAGCACUUUAAGUUGGGAGGAAGGGCAGUAAGUUAAUACCUUGCUGUUUUGACGUUACCAACAGAAUAAGCACCGGCUAACUUCGUG